rnacentral:rRNA from 1 species
GACGAACCGAGCGAACGUUGUUCGGAAUCACUGGGCUUAAAGCGCGUGUAGGCGGCUUUGCAAGUCGGGUGUGAAAUCCCACGGCUCAACCGUGGAAGUGCAUUCGAAACUGCGAGGCUAGAGUCCUGGAGAGGAAGGUGGAAUGCUUGGUGUAGAGGUGAAAUUCGUAGAUAUCAAGCGGAACACCGGUGGCGAAGGCGGCCUUCUGGACAGUGACUGACGCUGAGACGCGAAAGCGUGGGGAGCAAACAGG